rnacentral:snRNA from 1 species
AUUACUUCUUGUCUAAGAUUGAGUGUAGUAUUUGUUAUUAUCAUACACAUACAUACUACAUAUAUACAUAUAUAUAAGGCGGGUAUGUAUAUUUGAUGACUAUAUAUAUGUGUGUAUAUAUAUAUAUAUAUAUAUAUAUAUAUAUGAUGGAAUUUUAUAGCAAGAAGAUGCAAUCAAAGCUUGCCCGGCCACUAUGCACAUCAACCUGGUAUUGCAAUACCCCCAGGAAAAAUGUGCACCCU